AUACGGAGGGUGCAAGCGUUAAUCGGAAUCACUGGGCGUAAAGCGCACGUAGGCUGUUUGGUAAGUCAGGGGUGAAAUCCCGCAGCUCAACUGCGGAAUUGCACUUGAUACUGCAUUGCUUGAGUUCGGGAGAGGGUAGUGGAAUUCCAGGUGUAGGAGUGAAAUCCGUAGAGAUCUGGAGGAACACCAGUGGCGAAGGCGACUACCUGGACCGAUACUGACACUGAGGAGCGAAAGCGUGGGGAGC
rnacentral:rRNA from 1 species